CUACAGCCUCAGAUCAGACGUGGUGACCUGAUGAAUUUAAGCAUAUUACCAAGCAGAGGAAAUGAAACUAACCAGGAUUCCCUCAGUAACGGCCAGUGAAGAGGGAAGAGCCCAGCGCCAAAUCCCCAUUCAGCGGCAGGUGUGGGAAAUGUGGAGUACAGAAGACCAACUCACCGGCAUCGCUCAGGGUGCUGAAGUCCCUCUGAUCGAGUCCAUCCCUGCAGACUAUGUUAGGCUGGUAGCAGCCUCUUGCACACCCGGAUCAGGUCUUCUUGGAGUCAGGUUGCUUGGGAAUGUAGUCCAAAGAGUGUGGUAAACUCUGUCUAAGGCUAAAUACAGGCACGAGACUGAUGGCCAACAAGUACCAUAAGGGAAAGUUGAAAAGAACUUUGAAGAGAUAGUUCAAGAGGGCGUGAAACCGUUCUGGUGGGGUCCGUGCAGUCCGCCCACAGGAUUCAACAUGGCAUUCAGGUCAGUCGACCUGGAACGGUGGAGGCCCUUGCAGGACUGCGGCCGGGGCACACCCAGCCACAGGAGGGCGCAUUUCCUCUGGCGGUGCGCCACGACUGGCUGGGAAGGCCCCAGGGGGCAGGUGGCUCUCUGCUCCAGCAGAGUUUUACAGCCCCCUAACAGCAGUUUUGCUGUAACCACAGGGCCGAGGGAGAUUGAGGGCCACUGUGCCCUUCUCCGGCAAGCGUCCUGGCCCCUGUUGGGGACGCCAGAGUGGUGACAGGAGACAGGACUGUGGUGGACUUCCCUCAGUGCGCCCCGACCAUGUCGUGCUGCUGGGCGAGGAGGCCCAAAAAGGACGCCAGGGGCCUGAGGGGAUGACGGUUAUCCACCCAACCUGUCUUGAAACACGGACCAAGGAGGGCCGAAUGAAACCCUUUGAAGUAAUGAUGGUGAGUGCCAGCAAUCGCCGAUUGCAGUGGGAUCCUGUUGCGGUGGGCGCUCCACCGACCCGUCUCACCCGCUCUGUCAGGAAGAUGGUGCAUGAGCGUAUGUGAUAGGACCUGAAAGAUGCUGAACUUGGCCUGGUGGAGGUCCGUAGCGGUCCUGAUGUGUAAAUCGGUCAUCCGACCUAGGUAUAGGGGCAAAAGACUAAUUGAACAAUCUAGUAGCUGGCUCUCUCCGAAGUUUCCCCUCGGGAUAUCUGGCGCACAGAAACCCCAGUUUUAUCUAGCAAAGCAAAUGAUUAGAGGUCUUGGGGCCUAAAUGAUCUCAACCUUUUCUCAAACUUUAAAUGGGUAUGAAGCCCGUCUUGCUGGCGUGGAGCCGGGCAUUGUAUGCAAGUGCACAGUGGGCAACUUUGGUAAGCAGAACUGGCACUGCGGGAUGAACCGAAUACCAGGUUAAGGCGCCUGAUGCCGGUGCUCAUCAGACCCCAGAAACAGUGUUGGUUGAUUAUAGGCAUCAGGAUGGUGGCCAUGGAAGUCGGAAUCCCCUAAGGAGUGUGUAACAACUUACCUGCCGAAUCAAUUAGGCCUGAAAAUGGAUGGCGCUGGAGCGUCAGGCCCAUACCCGGCCGGCGCUGAGAGCCACGGGGGCUAAGUUGCGACGAGUAGGAGGGCCGCUGUGGUGCGCACAGAAGCCGGGGGUGAGGGCCCGGGUGGAGCUGCCGCAGGGGCAGAUCUUGGUGGUAGUAGCAAAUAUUCAAACUAGAAAUUGUAAGGCUGAAGUGGAGAAGAGUUCCAUGCAGUUGAACAUGGGUCAGUCGGUCCUAAGAGAUGGGCGAGCGCCGUUCGGAAGGGACGGGCGAUGGCUUCCGUUGCCCUCAGCCGAUCAAAAGGGAGUCUGGUUUAGAUCCCCAAACCUGGAGUGGCAGAGACAGGGUCCCUUGCGGCAUCCAGUGCGGUAACACAAAUGAUCCAAGAGGAGCCAGCAGGAACCCUGGGGGGAGUUCUCUUUUCUUUGUGAAGGGCAGGGCACCCUGGAAUGGGUGAGAAAGGGGGCUGAGCCUUGGAAAACGUUGCUAUUCCGGCGGCAUCCGGUGAGCUCUCGCUGGUCCUUGAAAAUCCAGGGAAGAUGGUGUAAAUGUCGCGCCAGUCCAUACCCAUAUCCGCAGCAGGUCUCCAAGCCAAACAGCCUCUGGCAUUUUGGAACAAUGUAGCUAAGGGAAGUCGGCAAGUUGGAUCCGUAACGAUGCGAGCCGGGCCCUUCCUGUGUAUCACCCUAGCUGCAAUGAUCGCCUCUCUCGUUCCCCCUCCUGGGGUUCAGGGCCGGCAUUCUGCCUCGGCCGACACCUAGCAGCUGACUUAGAACUGGUGCGGACCUGGGGAAUCUGACUGUUUAAUUAAAACAAAGCAUUGCGAAGGCCCACGGUGGGUGUUUUGAUGUGAUGUGAUUUCUGCCCAGUGCUCUAAAUGUCAAAUUGAAGAAAUUCAAUGAAGCGUGGGUAAACCGCUGGGGUAACUAUGACUCUUAAGGUAGCCAAAUGCCUCGUCAUCUAAUUAGUGAUGUGUAUGAAUGGAUGAAUGAGAUUCCCACUGUCCCUACCUACUAUCUAGCGAAACCACAGCCAAGGGAAUGGGCUUGGCAGAAUUGUCGGGGAAAGAAGACCGGGCUGAGUUUUACUCUAGUCUGGCACUGUAAAUAGGCAUGAGAGGUGUAGGAUAAGUGGGAGGCCCUUGGGCUGCUGUUGAAAUACCACUACUGUUAUUGUUUUUCCACUUACCCGGUAAGGUGGGGGCUAGCCCCGUGGGGCUCUCGCUUCUGGCUUCAAGCACCUGGCACCUGCCGGGCACGACCCGCUCUGGGGACAGUGGCAGGUGGGGAGUUUGACUGGGGUGGUACACCUGUCAAAGGAUAACGCAGGUGUUGUCGUAACUUGACUCGUUGUGAAGAAUAUUUGGGCCUCUGUCCCCAAGUUCCACACGGAGAGAAGGAAAAUCACUCCUCGUGCGAGCCUUGAGGCCACAGGUGGUUGCUGUUCUUUCGCAGGACCAGACGCCGCUGAGGACCCCAGAGCUGUGGAAUGAAUUAGGUAUUAGUGCAAACAAACACAGUACUGU
rnacentral:rRNA from 1 species